CUCUAUAAUUAGGGAAAUUGUGCACAGCAGUGACAACGUUAGCCGUAUUGAAGAAAGUCAUAGCAUGAGCCGCUAAAAGCAUAUAGAGGCACAUAACCCAUAAAGGGGGUUUAGGUAGGAGGCCCAUAACGGUCAACCACAUAAGAUAAUAGCCAGCAAAGCACUGAAUAGCUCCGGCAAGCAGCACCACCCAUGGACCACCAAAACGACGACGACGGCGAGUGGUGACUGAUGAGUAGAGUAAGCCGGAAAGUAUGCCGACAUUAGCGCCGACAUCUUUGAAUACGGAGACGACAUUGAGGGAUGAUUGAUCGUAUCCUUGGGUAGAUUUGAGAAUGGAAGAAUAAAUGGCGAAUGUGUAGAGUGAACCGCUGGUACAUUGGAUCCAUAUACUAGCAACUGUGGCUACCCAUUUGGUGUUGAUCUUGGCCUUAAAACUGGGAUUGUAAUCUGGGUCUAAAUCCAUUUUUACUGAUU
rnacentral:misc_RNA from 1 species